rnacentral:misc_RNA from 1 species
GAAAUGCGAUAAUUAAUGUGAAUUGCAGAAUUCAGUGAAUCAUCGAGUCUUUGAACGCACAUUGCGCCCCCUGGUAUUCCGGGGGGCAUGCCUGUCCGAGCGUCAUUGCUGCCCUCAAACACGGCUUGUGUGUUGGGCUUCCGUCCCUGGCAACGGGGACGGGCCCAAAAGGCAGUGGCGGCACCAUGUCUGGACCUCGAGCGUAUGGGGCUUUGUCACCCGCUCCCGUAGGUCCAGCUGGCAGCUAGCCUCGCAACCAAUCUUUUUAACCAGGUUGACCUCGGAUCAGGUAUGGAUACCCGCUGAACUUAAGC